rnacentral:rRNA from 1 species
GACGAACGCUGGCGGCGUGCUUAACACAUGCAAGUCGAGCGAUGAAGUUCCUUCGGGAAUGGAUUAGCGGCGGACGGGUGAGUAACACGUGGGUAACCUGCCUCAUAGAGGGGAAUAGCCUUCCGAAAGGAAGAUUAAUACCGCAUAAGAUUGUAGCUUCGCAUGAAGUAGCAAUUAAAGGAGCAAUCCGCUAUGAGAUGGACCCGCGUCGCAUUAGCUAGUUGGUGAGGUAACGGCUCACCAAGGCGACGAUGCGUAGCCGACCUGAGAGGGUGAUCGGCCACAUUGGGACUGAGACACGGCCCAGACUCCUACGGGAGGCAGCAGUGGGGAAUAUUGCUCAAUGGGGGAAACCCUGAUGCAGCAACGCCGCGUGAGUGAUGACGGUCUUCGGAUUGUAAAACUCUGUCUUCAGGGACGAUAAUGACUGUACCUGAGGAGGAAGCCACGGCUAACUACGUGCCAGCCGCCGCUGUAA